rnacentral:rRNA from 1 species
GCGGUGGAGCAUGUGGUUUAAUUCGAAGCAACGCGCAGAACCUUACCAGCCCUUGACAUGGUCACGACCGGCGCAGAGAUGCGCUUUUCCCGCAAGGGACGUGAUGCACAGGUGCUGCAUGGCUGUCGUCAGCUCGUGUCGUGAGAUGUUGGGUUAAGUCCCGCAACGAGCGCAACCCUCGCCUUUAGUUGCCAGCAUGUUUGGGUGGGCACUCUAAAGGAACUGCCGGUGACAAGCCGGAGGAAGGUGGGGAUGACGUCAAGUCCUCAUGGCCCUUAUGGGCUGGGCUACACACGUGCUACAAUGGCGGUGACAAUGGGAAGCCAGGCAGCGAUGUCGAGCCGAUCCCAAAAAGCCGUCUCAGUUCAGAUCGCAGCCUGCAACUCGGCUGCGUGAAGGUGGAAUCGCUAGUAAUCGCGGAUCAGCACGCCGCGGUGAAUACGUUCCCGGGCCUUGUACACACCGCCCGUCACACCAUGGGAG